UCUUCGCCUAAUGUUAUUGUUAUCCUAGCAACUAAUACGAACACUCGAUGUAGCAUACGAUAAUAGGCUACAAAUGUUCCUACCACUUUAAAAUUGAAACUGAUAAAGGUUUCUAGUUCAGACUCCGUAUGGUACUUGAUCUUGCAGAACAUCUUUAUAACAGACUAAUCUUUCAAAUGGAGUUUGAAACUGUAUUUUAAAUCGGUAACUGCAAGGAAAACCCGACUUUAUUUUGUUUUAAAGUGCAUACAAAAACGUGUCAGAGAGGAUUUGAUAUUACAAGAAAUACUGUAAGGUGAGGCGUAUUGGAAAUUAGCACCGUCUAGAGUGUCGGACACAUAUUUUAAAUUAUCGAUUCCUCAUAAACAAUUUAUUAGUUUAAUCCCACCAUGCAGGCCCGCAUAUCGAUCUUCUAUAUUACAAUUGGGUAGGACCAGUAAGCAUUACAUAACAAUGUGUUAUCAGUAAACAUUAAGUUGGUCUUCGAAAUAACCAGGGUCACCAUGGAACAAUUCCUAGUUGUAUUGUUCGACGAUUGUCGAAAGAACAAAAGAUGACAUGAAGGUGAAGCUUGCUAGCUCUUGACACCUUGACAGACACUGACUGCCUGGCUGAUUGCUACCCCGGUAACAGCACUUUGAAUACACCACCGCCAUGUGGCCCAAGUCUUGUCUCAAUCGCAUCGCUUUAAUUAAUAUACAUCGAUUAGUUUGAACGCUGAAUUUUCUACUAAGAUUUACAACGUAGUGGGGAAUGAAUAAAUAAUGCUGCCAUCAUGAAUAUUUUUUAUAAAAAGCAUGCCCACUAUCGGUUAAAGUUGCGUGUGAAGCAGAAAAUGCAAGGAACGUCUCUUAAAUCAGAAAUGAAAUUAGUGAAUGGCCAAAAUAAUGCAAGUACAGCACGCUCAAGUUUUCCUCAACUCCAGUUAAACGACUGUAGUACUGUACCGAAUCGUGAUGAGUAAGUAGUUAUAAAUAUAACCAGGGAACAGUGAGAUUACAAUUUCACUGUUCCCUGAUAUAACUUUAUUCUGAUCUUAUUGUAACAUAAGGUAAGGUUGUAUGUUAAGUAAAAAAUGAUUAUAAUGUACACAAAAAUACCAAAAGAAAAAUAAUAUAACCAUUUAAUUAUUAAGAAUAAGCACAUACACAUUGAAUACAUGAUAAAGAGGACACAAUGAUAAAUAAUACGGUAUGUUCUUAAUGGAGCAAAGGAGAGAUAUUAAUGAGAGAAGAGGAAGGUAACGCAUUGUAUCAAGGGAAUUUAUUGAUUAACGAACCUAAUAUAAUACCUAAUAGUAUCUAGAUAAAAUCGUUUCAUUAGAAAGGAGAGUUUGGUGAUAUUGUCUUAAGUCACUGACUUUUUAUACAUUAAAUCCACUUCUGUUGGCCUAUGAGUUAAUGAUAUGCCAUCAAUUCAUAACUAGAUUCUACAAUCUAAAAUAUUGACGUACCACCAUACUUACUAACCGAUCUUCACUUCGAUGUGCAUUUUAGUCAUUAUUGUAUUUUAUUGCGUCUAUAAUUGCUGGCCAGAUAGAUAUCAGUUAUUAAAAAAAAAAAAUCACACACAAUCGCAAAUAGGAUUACUGUACACUCGCCAAUUUACAGGGAGAGGAAGCCUGAACAUAUUAGUGUAUUUCAAGUAUGAGAUAAUCGUCAGUCGAUGGAUAUGCAUAAUAAAAAGAGUCUAUGAUAUAUGCAAUUGUAGAUUAUGAAAGUAGAUAAAAACCGAUUAAACACCGCGGUCCAAAGAAUAGACAGAUAAUAAUAUAUCAAUAAUAUUAUGAGUGGUUUAAUGUCCCUUGUACGCCUAAACACUCGAAAGUCAAUAAACACUAAAGAGUAAACCAAACGAGGACUUCAACGUAAUCUUCUUGGUUAUUACUCUAGAAUGUUGUAGUAUUUGCCAUCAAUUUUGUCUUCACUGUUGUCUAGGUAAUUGUCGUGAUGUUGUGUUGUAGCGCGUUAUUGUAUGCGUGCUGUCACUAUCGACAUCGCUCCAUCGAUAUCGCUGACGAGGGGUCCUCUCACCAACUCCGUCGGAAAAAAUACUGGCGCCAACCGAGUUAACAUUGGCGUUUUAUCUUUAUCUUUUAUCUGUUUGUUAUCUCAAAACGUGCAAUAAACGUUGAUAAACUCAUCAUAUAAUAGAAUGUGUGUGCAAUAGAUUAUUGAAACGGAUAAAACCCAAUUGAGGGUCGACAGGUUCAAAGAAUAGACAAAUACAAGCUUAAAAAACAUUAUUAUAACUCGGUUCCAUAUGCAUCCUAUAUACAUAUUAUUACAAACUGGCAAUAUAUAAUACAGUAAUACUAUAUAAUGUAUACAUGAACAAAGACCAAGGAUAAAGACCUAAGGAUAGGUCGAAAUAUUGGUUUUCUCUAA